rnacentral:rRNA from 1 species
UUUUAUGGAGAGUUUGAUCCUGGCUCAGGAUGAACGCUGGCGGCGUGCCUAAUACAUGCAAGUCGAGCGAACAGACGAGGAGCUUGCUCCUCUGACGUUCGCGGCGGACGG